rnacentral:rRNA from 1 species
UACAGAGGUCUCAAGCGUUGUUCGGAUUCAUUGGGCGUAAAGGGUGCGUAGGUGGCGCUGUAAGUCGGGUGUGAAAUUUCGGAGCUUAACUCCGAAACUGCAUUCGAUACUGCGGUGCUUGGGGACUGGAGAGGAGACUGGAAUUCAUGGUGUAGCAGUGAAAUGCGUAGAGAUCAUGAGGAAGACCAGUGGCGAAGGCGGGUCUCUGGACAGUUCCUGACACUGAGACACGAAGGCCAGGGGAGCAAACGGG